AUUAACGCUGGCGGCGUGCAUAACACAUGCAAGUCGCACGAUGAAACUUAACUGAUUUCUUCGGAAUGAUUUUAAGUGGAUUAGUGGCGGACGGGUGAGUAACGCGUGAGUAACCUGCCUUGGAGAAGGGGAUAGCCUUUGGAAACGAAGAAUAAUACCCUAUGAUAUGAUAAUAUCUCAUGAUAUUAUCAUCAAAGAUUUAUCGCUCUAAGAUGGACUUGCGUCUGAUUAGUUAGUUGGUGAGGUAACAGCUCACCAAGGCAGCGAUCAGUAGCCGGCUUGAGAGAGUGUACGGCCACAUUGGGACUGAGACACGGCCCAGACUCCUACGGGAGGCAGCAGUGGGGAAUUUUGCACAAUGGGGGAAACCCUGAUGCAGCGACGCCGCGUGAUUUAGAAGGCCUUCGGGUUGUAAAAAUCUUUUGUAUGGGAAGAAAAUGACAGUACCAUACGAAUAAGGACCGGCUAAUUACGUG
rnacentral:rRNA from 1 species